rnacentral:rRNA from 1 species
GACGUAGGGCGCGAGCGUUGUCCGGAUUUAUUGGGCGUAAAGAGCUCGUAGGCGGCUUGUCGCGUCGACUGUGAAAUCCCGCGGCUCAACUGCGGGUCUGCAGCCCGAUACGGGCAGGCUAGAGUUCGGUAGGGGGAGACUGGAAUUCCUGGUGUAGCGGUGAAAUGCGUAGAGAUGUGGAGGAACACCGAUGGCGAAGGCGGCAUCCUGGACCGAGAUUGACACUGAUGAGCGAAAGCUAGGGGAGCAAACGGG